rnacentral:rRNA from 1 species
GAUGAACGCUAGCUACAGGCUUAACACAUGCAAGUCGAGGGACCGGCGCACGGGUGAGUAACACGUAACCAACCUGCCCUUUACUCGGGGCUAGCCUUUCGAAAGAAAGAUUCAUACCCGAUGUAAAGGAUGGGGAUGCGUUCCAUUAGGUUGUUGGUGAGGAAACGGCUCGCCAAGCCUUCGAUGGAUAGGGGUUCGGAGAGGAAGCUCCCCGAGAUUGGAACUGAGCCACGAUCCAAACUCGUACGGGAGGCAGCAGUGAGGAAUAUUGGUCAAUGGGCGUUAGCCUGAACCAGCGAAGUAGCGUGAAGGAUGAAGGCUUAUGGAUCGUAAACUUCUUUUAUAUAAGAAGAUGUAUUAUAUGAAUAAGGAUCGGCUAACUCCGUGCCAGCAGCCGCGGUAAUAC